rnacentral:rRNA from 1 species
CCUACGUGCAGCAGCAGUGAGGAAUAUUUGUCAAUGGGCGCGAGCCUGAACCAGCCAAGUAGCGUGAAGGAUGACUGCCCUACGGGUUGUAAACUUCUUUUAUAAAGGAAUAAAGUGAGGCACGUGUGCCUUUUUGUAUGUACUUUAUGAAUAAGGAUCGGCUAACUCCGUGCCAGCAGCCGCGGUAAUACGGAGGAUCCGCGCGUUAUCCGGAUUUAUUGGGUUUAAAGGGAGCGUAGAUGGGUUGUUAAGUCAGUUGUGAAAGUUUGCGGCUCAACCGUAAAAUUGCAAUUGAUACUGGCAGUCUUGAGUACAGUUGAGGUAGGCGGAAUUCGGGGUGUAGCGGUGAAAUGCUUGGAUAUCACGAAGAACUCCGAUUGCGAAGGCAGAUUACUAAACUGCCACUGACAUUGAUGCUCGAAAGUGUGGGUAUCAAACAGGAUUAGAUACCCGUGUAGUC